GAUGAACGCUGGCGGCGCGCCUAACACAUGCAAGUCGAACGGUUAAAGCACCUUUUAGGUGUGUAUAAAGUGGCGAACGGCUGAGUAACACGUGGGCAACCUGCCCUCCUCUUGGGGAUGGCCUCGGGAAACCGAGGAUAAUACCCGAUACUUCAAUGUGGCCGCAUGGCGACAUUGAGAAAGCUUUUGCGGAGAAGGAUGGGCCCGCGGCCUGUUAGCUUGUUGGUGGGGUAGAGGCCUACCAAGGCAAUGAUGGGUAGCUGGGUUGAGAGACCGACCAGCCAGAUUGGGACUGAGACACGGCCCAGACUCCUACGGGAGGCAGCAGUGGGGAAUCUUGCACAAUGGGCGAAAGCCUGAUGCAGCGACGCCGCGUGCGGGAAGAAGGCCUUCGGGUUGUAAACCGCUUUCAGCAGGGACGAGGCGAAAGUGACGUACCUGCAGAAGAGCCCC
rnacentral:rRNA from 2 species